rnacentral:lncRNA from 1 species
UAAAGAUGCAAGUGUCCAGUUUGGUCAGUAUUUAGAAGAUGAGAAUAAUUGAAGGUCAGACUUGACCUUUUCUUCAAUGCUUCCCCAAAUUCCAAAUUAUUUUCUGCCUGAGGGAAGGAAAAGCAUUGCCUCCUGCCAGAGACAGCCAAGAUGCUGCAGAAGCAACAGCUGGCCAGAAGUGAUUUUCUGUGAUUUUCCCUUCCUGUGGAGCAUGCCAGUCAUAGAAAUGGAGCAUUAUGUUUCUAGCGAAUAGGGCUGGUCUGUGAAACCAGCUGAAUAUUGCAAAAACGAAGUGUGACUUCUGAGGUCAAAAAAAGGUGUGGCUUCUUUCUUUUGAAUCAGACACUCUGGGGAAAGCCAACUGCCAUACUACAAGGACAUUCAAGCAACCCUCUAUAGAAGGCCAAGCCGGGAGGAAUUGGGACUUCUCAUCUGCGGUCAGCACCAACUUGCCCAUCAUGUGAGUGAGCCGCAUUGGAAGCAGAUCCUCCAGGCUCAGUCAGGCCUACCAACAGCUGCAGCCCUGGCUGACAUCUUGAUCAAGACCUUCUGAAACACCCUGCAUCAGAACUACCCAGCUAAGCCACUCUAGGAUUCCAGACUCACAAAAGCCAUGAGAUAAUAAAUGAACAUUGUUGUAUGAAG